UACAGAGACUGCAAGCGUUAUUCGGAUUCACUGGGCGUAAAGGGUGCGCAGGCGGUUGGGUGUGUCAGAUGUGAAAUCCCGAGGCUUAACCUCGGAACUGCGUCUGAAACUACUCGACUAGAGUACUGGAGAGGGAAACGGAAUUCACGGUGUAGCAGUGAAAUGCGCAGAUAUCAGGAAGAACACCCGUGGCUAAGGCGGCUCUCUAGUACGGUACUGACGCUGAGACGCGAAAGCGUGGGGAGCGAACAGG
rnacentral:rRNA from 1 species